rnacentral:lncRNA from 1 species
UCUGUGAAAGCUUCACUGACGGCACCACCUCCGAUUGGUAAACGUCCAUGGGGCAGGCCAUCAUUGAUCUGAUGUUCAGCACUCACAGCUACCGAAUAAUCAUCAUAUAACAUAAAAGGGAGCUGAUGAGUCAAGGGCUUGCUAAAUAAAUGAGGACUCUAGAUUUUCUAUGUAGAGAUUCUGCACUUACACUGCUUAUUUGCACUUUCUGGCUGCUGGUUGGACCGCUGCUACCACUGACAUCCGUGCUUACGGUUCCACGUUUGCACCAUCCAGACAAGUCACUAUAGUCAGGGAAAUCAUGGAGCCAUAAAACGGCUGCCCUCAUUUUAAAAUAUCUCUUGGUUGAAGCAUCCCAUGUUUCUAUCCCUUCCCACAUCUCCAGCAGCUCAUCAACUAAAGGCUCGAUCAGAGCAUCUACUCUCUUUGGAACCUUAGGGCCAGGGAUAAUAAGGGUAGGAUGCAUGUCCUCUGAAUUCACCUCUGUGCCAGGAGGGCCAGGAGGGCCAUUCAGUACAUUCAGAAAAACUUCCCAAUCCGAGGAAGGAGAAGCUUUGACAGUAACAGAAAGACGGAUGUUCCUAGGAUCCGCUGCAAAGCCUUUGUGAUCCUGGUCAAAUUGCUUCCAAACUUUCCCAUCGCAUGGAUGCGCCCUCCUAACAGAUGUGGAAGUGGGACGCUUCUGGGAGCUUUGCUGCCUCCUCGUGUGCGCAGAACCUUUGUAGCCCAUCU